ACCUGCGUGUAGAGGUCUUGGUAAAAACAACGUCAUCAAUUUUGUAUGUAUCAUUGAUAUAAGGUGUCAUUAUGACGACUCCAACACUGGUUUUCUUGAAAGAUGCCGGGUAAUCUUCUCAUUGGUCAUCUUUUCAUUGGUUACAUAUUUCUAGAGAAAUCAGAAGAGUAAAGUAAAAUUGUGGAAUACUGAAAAAUUCAAAGAACUGACAAUAAGAAGGGAAUAUGCUAUAAGGACAUCCAACGUUACCAAUAAGAGUAAUAACACUAGUCAACAGCCAUUUUGCAUCUGGGAUGUGAUACAUCAACUAGUAUGUAUAUUGAGAAGAGCUAAAAGAUCUACAAAUUGUCAGUAAAUGGUUGGUGUGGUAAUCCAGUGGUGUGAAAGAGAUGCCCAGUGAGUGUUUCCUGUGAAAGAUAGUGCAAACUCAACUAAGAAAAAUGGCAACUAGUAAAUCUCGUUGCUGUCUAA